rnacentral:tRNA from 2 species
GCGGGUGUAGCUCAAUGGUAGAGCAGUAGCCUUCCAAGCUAAUGACGAGGGUUCGAUUCCCUUCACCCGCUCCA